ACUGCACAGUUCUCUCUUAAGUCUCAACCCUCCCUCAGGAGACUGAACUGAUACUUGGGGAUUGAUCCCAUAUAGCACUCAUGGCUGCAAAUCAUAAAGCUGGUAGAGAUCAUACAGCUAUUGAUAUUCGCGAUGACCGCAAGAAGUGCAAGAAAUGCAUCUUCAGAGUUCCUUACGUGCUCCGGAGACAAAACCCAGAAGCAUACACACCUGACGUUGUUUCAAUCGGACCUUUCCAUCAUUAUCCAGAAGAUCGAAAGAAGGAAGAAGGUAAAGGAGGCAAGGAAGGCAAAGAAGGCAUACGCGAGAAAGAUUUCCAACUCAUCGAACGAGUGAAGCGAAGCUACUUGAAUGAAAUUCUUGCAGGUAUGGACAAUAUAACUUUGGAAGGGUUGAUCAUUAAGCUCUCGGAUCAAAAGAGUGAAGGCGAGUUUGAGCAGUGCGCGAGCGACUUCUAUGCAGAACCACUUGAUCAUAUUCCUUCAAAAGACUUCAUCGAGAUGAUGAUAGUUGACGGUUGUUUCCUACUUCAACUAUUUCGAAAGUUUAACCAUCCCAAUCUCAGGGCCUUUGAUGACCUAGUGUUCAACAUGGACUGCAUGUUCCAUUUCCUAUGCCAUGAUAUUUUGCUCCUAGAGAAUCAACUACCUUGGUUUGUCAUCCACAGUUUGUAUAACCUUACCCACAAACUAUACCCUACUGAAGCCUCCCUCUCUACUCUCAUCCUUGAAGCCUUCAGCAUACUACCUUCACUUAAGCAAAGUUGCUCAUCCUAUAAAAAUCAUCUCCUCAGAGACAAGCUUGAAGGUGAUUUUCUGCACAUACUUGAUCUGUUAAGAUGUUCGAUAGUUAUUCCAUUAAGGACCAUAGAAGGAAGAGCGCAUAAACACGCUGGUAAAGAAGGUAUAUCCAACGGCACAGCUGAAGAACAUCAAGUGCGCAGUGGGAGCAGCAAAGACAAGAGAGACGAUAAAGAUGUUCAUGGAGCUAUCUUUGACCCUGAUCUACAUCAAAUUCGUACCGCAACCGAUCUCUCAAAGGCAGACAUUAAAUUUGAAAGCGUCACAAGGGAGAGCAUAAUGGACAUUCAAUUCGAAAAAGGCAGGUUCCGCUGGAAUGGGAUUCUUAAGAUUCCGCAGCUAAAUAUUGGAAUGGCAUCGGAAACAUUAUUCAGGAACUUUAUUGCAAUCGAGCAAUGCUACCAUGGCUAUCUGAACGAAAUUACAUCCUAUGCGAUCUUGAUGGAUAACCUUAUCUCUUCCCAGAAAGAUAUGGAAUUACUCUGCAACAAAAAAGUAAUAGGUAACUGGAUGAGUGAUGAAGAUGGCUGCAAGUUUUUCAGCAACCUUUACAAGGACAUCCCGCACAACAAGUUCUACUAUGUUGGUCUGUGCAAACAAGUGAAUGAUUGUUACAGUUUGAAAUGGUAUGAAUGGUUGGCUUUACUCAAGAGUGAGAAAUUCUCUAACCCCUGGAGAAUUUCGGCUUUUGUGAUAGGUAUUAUCCUCUUGAUUCUCACUGCGUGGAGUCAGUCAAACAACAUUCGGCCCGACGUCGUAGACGAUACUUCUAGUCCCAAAUGCGAUUUAGAAUUGAACGAAGAUCUUAGUCCUCGGCUAGGUGAAAGCCAUCGAGCUUGUUUGUAUGGAGGAGCGCCAAAGGAUGACAGAGCUGCAGAUGUUGUGGUUGCCACUCCGUGUCGCUUGAAUGACCUCCUAUUACAGAAGAGAAUCACUCUGUGAUGUUUCUUACCUAGUGUUGGAUGAGGCUGAUUGUAUGCUGGACAUGGGUUUUGGACCGCAAAUAAGGAAGAUUGUGACGCAGAGACCUUCUGACUGUCAGACCUUUAUGUAUACAGCAACGCUGUCCAAGGAAGUUAGGACGAUUGCAUCAGAUCUACUGGGCAAGUCCGUCCAGGUGAACAUUGGCAAUGUUAAUGAACUUGUCGCGAAUAAGUCGAUCACACAGCAUGUUGAAGUACUGAUGUCGAUGGAGAAAGACAGACGAUUGGAACAAAUACUGCGAUCGCAAGAGCCAGGGUCCAAGAUAAUUAUAUUUUGUUCAGCCAAAGAUACGUGCAAUCAUCUUUCUUGUACCCUAAACCGCCAAUUUGGAGCUGCUGCAAUUCAUGGUGACAAAUCUCUGGCUGAGAGGGAUCGUGUCCUGAGUCAAUUUCGCACAGGGAGGAAGCCAGUUCUUAUAGCAACUGAUGUCGCAGCUCGAGGAUUGGAUGUUGAGGACAUAAGGGUGGUUAUCAAUUACAACUUCCCUACUGUAGUCCCAUAUUAUGUUCACGGAAUUGAGAGAACUGGAAGGGCAGGUGGCACUGGGUUGGCUUACACGUUCUUAGGUAAUUAAGAUGCAAAAUACGCUGCAGAACUCAUUAAGGUUUUGGAAGGAGCCGUGCAGUGUGUACCCCCAGAAAUUCAUGAUUUGGCUUCACGUUCUUGUGGUCGUGAUGGUGGGGGACGAACUGGAAGGGCAGGUGCCACUGGGUUUGGAUCUUCUUUCUCUGCUGGCAGGGCUUCAACAAAUUCCAAGUUAAUCAAAUGACUGGGAAAGUCUUCGCUUGGAGGUAUUCGAUAUAGCCAAAAGGACAGAUACAUUUCGGUAGGCACCUCGUGAAAUGCUUUGCAUACAACUGGAUAGAAGUCCUCACCUGUAGGAAUCUGCAUGCAAACAUUCCAUGUUGGAAAAGGAAAAAAGUUCAAAAUAUUUGUUGGAACAGUUAAUUGAAUAUAGUACAACCAUUCAUGUUCUUACCUUAUAUGCCUUCAUAUACCUCCAAAUGUGUGUGCACACAUUUGUGAAAAAUACUAAUUCAUCAAUGGCAUUGUUAUUCCGUACUGGAUCACUGCUCUUUUGACGAGUUCGUUGAUAGUCGUUGUACAUAGUCG